UCAGCAGCAGCAGCAAAGGCAGCUAAGUACGGUACGUGCUGUGUGGGGCCCAUGGUCACUGCCCUGCAAAACCUGGUGGGAUGGUGAAACACAUCCCACAGUUUCUAUCCAGACACAGAACUGAUCCCUGUCCUGCCUCGCUCGGGCCUCUCCUGACGUGGCUGUGGAUGCUCCGCUCUUUGGGCCACAAUGAAAAGACAGAGCUGGAAGAGGCCCAACCUUUCACUGUUGCUGCAGUGAGAUCUGACUUCUCCCAUCUCCUCCCUGCAGGAGCUGGUGUUCCUGGCAUCGCUGGCGUUCCUGGCAUUGCCGGUGUUCCUGGAGUUCCUGGUGUUCCUGGUGUUCCUGGUGUUCCUGGAGUUCCCGGUGUUCCUGGUGUUCCUGGCGCUGUGCCCGGUGUUGGAGUGGGUGGCCCGGCAGCGGCGGCUGCAGCCAAGGCUGCGGCAAAAGCAGCGGCGAUCGGAGCAGGACGCGUGCCCGGCGUUGGCGUGCCCGGCGUUGGCGUGCCCGGCGUUGGCGUUCCCGGAGUGCGUGUGCCUGGAGUGGGUGUGCCUGGAGUGGGUGUGCCUGGUGCUGGCGUGCCCGGUUUGGUGCCCGGGGUCGGUGUUCCAGGAGGUCCGGCAGCCGCUGCCAAAGCCGCCGCCAAAGCAGCCAAGUACGGAGCAGGUGGCCUGGCUCCCGGCGUGGGUGGCCUGGCUCCCGGCGUGGGUGGCCUGGUUCCUGGAGUAGGUGGCCUGGUUCCUGGAGUAGGUGGCCUGGUUCCCGGUGUUGGAGGUGUCCCAGGUGUUGGAGGUCCAGCAGCAGCAGCCAAAGCAGCAGCCAAGGCAGCCAAAUUUGGUGCUGGGGCUGGAGGGGUGCCCGGUGUGGGCGGAGUGCCCGGAGUGACCCCCGGCGUUGGUGGCGUGCCCGGCUUGGUGCCAGGGGUGGGAGUACCUGGAACUGGCAUCCUUCCCGGGGCAGGCAUCCCCCAAGUAGGGGUGCAGCCCGGUGCUAAACCUCCCAAAUUCGGUGUUCCUGGGGUUGGAGUCCCAGGAGUUGGUGGCCUCCCAGGUGGCCUAGGAGUCGGUGGGCUCGGAGCUGGUGGCCUCGGUGGGGUCGGCGGCCUGGGAUUUGGCGGGAAGCCCCCCAAGCCCUACGGAGGAGCCCUGGGUGCCCUGGGCUUUAGAGGCGGAGCGGGCUGUGCGGCAGGGAAGUACUGCGGCAGGAAGCGGAAGUAACGCUCCGUCACCGAUCACCUCAUGAACUUUGGUGCUACUGCAUGGUCCAGAAUGUAAAUCCGAAGCAAAGCUGAGACACCCCCUCCUCAGGCCCCGGAACCCCCCCCCGUCCAUGCCGGGGCCGUGCCCGGCCCCGCGUUCCACGGAGGGACCCCGCGUUCCCCGGCAGCGUCCGGGGCCCCCCGGCCCUCGGUCCCGGCAGGGAGCGCGGAAUAAAGUGCGGGGAGCAGCCGUCCCCCUUGGUGCU
rnacentral:lncRNA from 1 species